CCUGGGAAGGGAGACUUCCAGAGGUGGGCGGACUGCGACUGCUCCUUGGAGCAGUACACCUGACUGUCCCAGCCAUUGGAGAGAGCCCAGUGCUGGUAGCCUUCGACGGGGAUGAGCGCGUCGUGACGCGGCUCCGGGUGCCCGCUGAUCCCGGGCACCACCGACACGUCCAGGUUUUAAAUGCUGAGUGCUUGGGUGCAGCCAACGCACAGGCCAUGGCCACACAGUAGCCCCUCGCUCAGCCGGACCUACUGCACCCUUCAAACCCGAGAGCAAAUGGACAGGUCUGCAGAGACCCCUUUGGGCCACCUCCCUCCUCCUUCUGGGGAGAAGGUGGCGUUUGACGGUUGAGAGCACCCGGACAUCGGAGCACUAUGCGGCCAAAAUUUAGUGGCGAGAAGAAAGAAAGGGAAACAUAGUCCUCUUCCUCAAGACCAGCCGAAGAUGUAGGCCCCCAAAGCGACUUGGAGGAGAGGGAAGGCUGGCGGGGAAGUUCGGACUCAGGGCGAUAAAAGCGGCUGGGUAAGUCCGCGUGCUCUGAAAAAUUCCCCCUUCUUUCACUUGGUUCCCCAAGACCUUUAGCGCCUGCAAAAGCCGUCUCCAAGUCUGGGGCGUGCCGGGAUCAGGGAGGGAGGCGGCGAUGCCAGAGCCUGCAGGCGGGCGAUGGAAAGUAAAAUCUUGUUGGUUAACUUUAAGCCUAGGGUCGUUUCUCACCCCUCCCCCGAAAAAAAAUGUGGAUCUCGCUGAGACACAAAUAAAAUCAAAUUAAACACUCCAGGAGAAUAUGCACCACUGGAAACGUAGUAAUUACAUCUCCAAGGCAGUUUCGCCCUAGAAAGCCUUUCUGAGGCCUGGCGCUGAAACCCUCAGCUGCGGCGCUCACUCCGGCUCGCCCGGCUGGGCUUCGAGGAGGAGACUGUGGGAUUUGACUGUGGAUGAAGUUUAGACAAAAUCCAGCUGCUGGUACGGGGAAAAAGAUGGAGCAUUUAAUUAUAAGGAAGGAAAAUGGAAAACGGCCCUUCAGCCUCGUCGGUAAGCCCUGGCUCUGCUCCGGGCUGCUUUUUCAAAAGGACUUCUGCAACGGGAGCGGUAGGAGCCACUCUGCCCUCAGCUACUGCCCAUGAACCGAGCUCUCAGCUAAGUUCAAUUCCGAAUUUUUUUCUUUUAAAUGCUCCAACACAGAAAGGAGAUAUUUAAUGUGCCUUUUCACAGGAAGCGUGUGUGUGUGUGUGUGUGUGUGUUCGCGCGCACGCGUGCGCGCGCGUGCCUGUAAAUUUGGGAUGGGUGCAGGCUGCCUGCACUGUUUCAGCACACGGCCUUGUGGACACAGCCCAAAUGCGUUCCCGAAGACACCCAGCUCUCUGCCUAAAUCCUCUGUAUGCAAAUAAAGGUCUCUGCUUGUCGGUCUGUAUGCACUUUUAAUUUACAUAUUCUUCCUACUCUACUUACAAAGACAUCCCCCAGCAAAAUAUAGAAAAAUGAAGAAGCAGAUGUCUGUGUCUUUCUGAAGUUGAGGGGUGGAA